rnacentral:rRNA from 1 species
GGGAAUUUUCCGCAAUGGGCGAAAGCCUGACGGAGCAAUACCGCGUGAGGGAUGACGGCCUAUGGGUUGUAAACCUCUUUUUUCAGGGAGGAAUCAAAUGACGUGUACCUGAAGAAUAAGCAUCGGCUAACUCCGUGCCAGCAGCCGCGGUAAGACGGAGGAUGCAAGUGUUAUCCGGAAUCACUGGGCGUAAAGCGUCUGUAGGUGGUCCAAUAAGUCAACUGUUAAAUCUUGAGGCUCAACCUCAAAAUCGCAGUCGAAACUAUUAGACUAGAGUAUAGUAGGGGUAAAGGGAAUUUCCAGUGGAGCGGUGAAAUGCGUAGAGAUUGGAAAGAACACCGAUGGCGAAGGCACUUUACUGGGCUAUUACUAACACUCAGAGACGAAAGCUAGGGUAGCAAAUGGGAUUAGAUACCCCAGUAGUCA